UUAAGGGCAAACUUAUAGAAAUGUAAGGACGCAAAGCUAGAAGUCUAAGGCAGGAAGCAUAGAUAGUUCGGUCGC
rnacentral:ncRNA from 1 species